AAUCCAUGAUGUGGACAUAUAUUCAUCAAGUCCUUGAAUCUCUCCCAACAAUCUUAAAACAUCUCAUCACCUCUUUGCAUGAACAAACUGAUAUGCUCCUACAGGUAUU